rnacentral:rRNA from 1 species
UACAGAGGGUGCAAGCGUUGUUCGGAAUCAUUGGGCGUAAAGGGCGUGUAGGCGGCCCUGUAAGUCAGUGGUGAAAUAUCUCAGCUUAACUGAGAGGGUGCCAUUGAUACUGCAGGGCUUGAGUACAGAUGAGGUAGGCGGAAUUGACGGUGUAGCGGUGAAAUGCAUAGAUAUCGUCAAGAACACCGAUAGCGAAGGCAGCUUACCAAGCUGUAACUGACACUGAGGCACGAAAGUGUGGGGAUCAAACAGG